ensembl:antisense Rab11fip4os2 RAB11 family interacting protein 4 (class II), opposite strand 2
AUUCCGAAUUCUAUCCAAGCCCGGGGAGGCUUUCCCUCUGACUGACCCCUCGGUGAUACACUGGGGUGGACAGAGAAAGACAUGACGACCAUGGUGGCUGUGAAGCAAUCCUGACAGUAACUGACUUCCCCUGGGGCUGCCAACCCUGCUAUACACACACUGACCGGAUGCUUGUCAGUGGCUGCCUGGUGCCAAUCAAAGGCCAAAGGUGGGAUCAAGUUAAGGUUAGCAUCCAAGCAAAAGACCAGAACCUUGACCUACCUCCAAGUCCAAGGGAACCCACUGGAGAACUGGUCACUAUGCUAUCUCCAUUGCUCUGAGAGUAGCCUUAACCUGUGAGAUGGAAGCUCUGUGGCCCUGGGCUUCCUAUUUUGGUGCAGGAGGCGAAGGUUUAGAAGGCAGGACAGACUACCAUGUUUCUUCCCAGACCUACCCCACCUGCACCACGCCAAGAAUGGCAGCCAGGGCAGGGUUUGGUCCCUGGGCUCCAAGUCUACUCCUGAACCCCCAAUGAGUCUCACCUUAGGUCAAGACAUCCCCUCAGCAGGAGCCCUCAGGUGACAAUCUCUGUGCAGAUAUUCCAAUGUUAACCUCAGUUGGAACUCAGUUGCAACUCAUCUCAGGACAGGGCCAGGGAGGGGGGAAGGGCGCCACAGCAACAAUAGAUGCUUCCUCUUUGGUUUCAAGUCA